GAAUGCGGUAGCUGUGUCCCCGGCCUGCAACGAGGGCAUAUCAUGUAACUCCUCCCGGCUUCAUUCCUAUGCAGGACAGGUGGAAUCAGAGGUUUCUGGCUGACUCGGUGG
rnacentral:lncRNA from 1 species